rnacentral:rRNA from 1 species
GUYUUUUUGAAUAUAAUUUAAAGUYUAGUCUGCCCAUUGAUAAAAUUAAAAGGCCGCAGUAUUUUGACUGUGCAAAGGUAGCAUAAUCAAUAGUUUCUUAAUUAGAAGCUAGUAUGAAUGGCUGGAUAAGAAAAAAGCUGUCUCAAAUUAAAUUUUUUAAAAUUUUAUUUUUAAGUUAAAAAGCUUAAAUUAAGUUAAAAGACGAGAAGACCCUAUAGAGUUUUAUAAUUUAAUUAAAUUUAAUUUUUAAGUAUAAAAUUUUUAAUUUUAAUUAAAUUAUUUGAUUGGGGUGAUUAAAAAAUUAAAUAAACUUUUUUUUUUAUUUUACAUUAAUUAAUGAAUAAUUGAUCCAUAAAAAUGAUUAAAAGAAUAAAUUACCUUAGGGAUAACAGCGUAAUUUUUUCUAAAAGUUCCAAUUGAAGAAAAAGAUUGCGACCUCGAUGUUGGAUUAAAGUUAAUUUUUGGUGUAGGAGCUAAAAAAUUAGGUCUGUUCRACCUUUAAAACUUUACA